UGGGGGAUAUUGCACAAUGGGGGAAACCCUGAUGCAGCGACGCCGCGUGUGGGAAGACGGUCCUCUGGAUUGUAAACCACUGUCCCCAGGGACGAAUCUGACGGUACCUGGGAGGAAGCUCCGGCUAACUACGUGCCAGCAGCCGCGGUAAUACGUAGGGAGCGAGCGUUGUCCGGAAUUACUGGGUGUAAAGGGAGCGUAGGCGGGAUGGCAAGUUGGGUGUUAAAUCUACCGGCUCAACCGGUAGCCGCACUCAAAAACUGCCGUUCUUGAGUGAAGUAGAGGCAGGCGGAAUUCCUAGUGUAGCGGUGAAAUGCGUAGAUAUUAGGAGGAACACCAGUGGCGAAGGCGGCCUGCUGGGCUUUUACUGACGCUGAGGCUCGAAAGUGUGGGGAGCAAACAGGAUUAGAUACC
rnacentral:rRNA from 1 species